rnacentral:rRNA from 1 species
UACGUAGGUGGCGAGCGUUGUCCGGACUUACUGAGCGUAAAGGGAGCGUAGGCGGACUUUUAAGUGAGAUGUGAAAUACUCGGGCUCAACUUGAGUGCUGCAUUUCAAACUGGAAGUCUAGAGUGCAGGAGAGGAGAAUGGAAUUCCUAGUGUAGCGGUGAAAUGCGUAGAGAUUAGGAAGAACACCAGUGGCGAAGGCGAUUCUCUGGACUGUAACUGACGCUGAGGCUCGAAAGCGUGGGGAGCAAACAGG